AGACCGUCCUGCACUGGUGUGUUUCGUGGUAUUCUUCUUCAUCCUGACUGCAGUAUUGCGUUUUGAUCACAGGACUAAUCUACCUGAUGUAGCUCAUAUCUUUGUGUACGUGUUUGGUUCUGCUGUCCUAAGUGUUCUUAAUUCAGUUGCUCUAGCAACAGAAGUGUUUCUGAAAGCAGGAAAGGGGGAGCGAACUGUGGAAGAUCUUCGAGUGAUCGUCUUGCCUCUUGAAUCUUUAUUUUUGGCCUUUUGGCUUGGUUUACAGGUGUAUGCCUUCUGUAAGUAUCCCAAGGAAACAUUACUAAGAUUUGGUACAUUUCAAA